rnacentral:tRNA from 3 species
GGGCGAUUGGCUCAGUGGUAGAGCGCUCGCUUCACACGCGAGAGGUCACUGGUUCGAACCCAGUAUCGCCCA